AACGAGCGCUGGCGGCAGGCCUAACACAUGCAAGUCGAGCGAAGCCUUCGGGCUUAGCGGCGGACGGGUGAGUAACGCGUGGGAACGUGCCCUUUGGUACGGAAUAGCCCCGGGAAACUGGGAGUAAUACCGUAUGUGGUCGAGAGACGAAAGAUUUAUCGCCAAAGGAUCGGCCCGCGUUGGAUUAGGUAGUUGGUGGGGUAAUGGCCUACCAAGCCGACGAUCCAUAGCUGGUUGGAGAGGAUGAUCAGCCACACUGGGACUGAGACACGGCCCAGACUCCUACGGGAGGCAGCAGUGGGGAAUCUUAGACAAUGGGGGAAACCCUGAUCUAGCCAUGCCGCGUGAUCGAUGAGGGCCUUAGGGUUGUAAAGAUCUUUCAGUGGGGAAGAUAAUGACUGUACCCACAGAAGAAGCCCCGGCUAACUCCGUGCCAGCCGCCGCUGUAAACC
rnacentral:rRNA from 1 species